rnacentral:rRNA from 1 species
GUGCCAGCAGCCGCGGUAACACGUAGGGUGCGAGCGUUGUCCGGAAUUAUUGGGCGUAAAGAGCUCGUAGGCGGUGUGUCGCGUCGGCCGUGAAAACCUGCAGCUUAACUGUGGGCGGGCGGUCGAUACGGGCAUCACUGGAGUUCGGCAGGGGAGACUGGAAUUCCUGGUGUAGCGGUGAAAUGCGCAGAUAUCAGGAGGAACACCGGUGGCGAAGGCGGGUCUCUGGGCCGAUACUGACGAUGAGGACCGAAAGCGUGGGGAGCGAACAGGAUUAGAUCCCCUGGUAGUCC